AUCUGAGGGACUCCAUGGGACCUACUUGGAGCUCAGGGCUGCUCAAGGGAUCACAGUGGGACCAAGGUGAGGGGCAGCCCUAUGGCAGCCUCAUUUUCCAGCCACCUUCCUGUGGUAUUGCUGUCAGACAAGGUGCGUGGGGAAGUCUGCCACUUGAAGGCUGGGGUCUGCUCUGUGCAAGAUGCCUGCACCUCCACACCACUGUGGGUGCCACUGGGACCACUGGGACCUUGCUGCUGGACGUCUGUCCCAAACAGGAAAAAGCUGAGUCCUUCCUUCUGCUGCCUGAACAGCUCCUCCAUGGCCAAAGAUUUCUUGGGGACCACCACCAAGUGCCUUGUCUGGAGACCUGCUGAAGUAGAUGCAGCCUACCAGUCCCUUGAGCCAUCUAGUGGUGCCUUCCUUGACUACUGGAUGGAAACAUUGCCGAAAAAUACUAACAGCAUCUGGUUAAUCCAGAAAGGGCUAUGGGUAACUCAUGCCAGAAGCAGACCAGCUACAAUGAAAAUAAGCCAGUUGGUGUUUCAAUAGGUUACCAAAGCAACAAAAAAUCCCCCCUGGAAAUGGCAGAUGAGACACAGAGGUAGAUGCCAACAUAGGAUGUUAGAGGCUAAGGAAUUUGGUCUGGAGUUGUCGCUUUGUCGUAGUGUUUGCAGCACUUUAUGGUUCCUCAUCGAGUCAAGCUGGGAUUUUAAAAGGAAAGCUGAACCUCCUAACCUGAAACCUCAAAUCCUUUUCUGAUGAUUUUUGUAACUGAAAAGCGGAAAUAGAGUCUUCAGUAAUUCAAAAAAGAUUUAAUGAUCAAAGCUGCAAUUAAAAGCAUGGUGAGUCAUCUUGCAAUUGUCCGUGUGCUAAAAAGUACAGGCUGUGCAAGAGAUCAUGUUGUCAUGACUGGUUUUGCUCAAAGAGGAUAUGGGAGCUGCUAUUACUUCCAGCUACGGAAGCAAUCUAUGUUCUGCAGACCUAUGUUUACAGAGCAGAAGAAAAGGCAACAGUCCCAGCUGCCCCGUUUGUGUAUUUUAUUUAGUAGCUCUGUCUGCAACAUCUGAAUUCAUGAUGGUGCUUUAUUACUUUCUGCCUUCUUCCAGAGUGUCUGCUCUCAGUAGGAGCCUUGAUUUUUUUAAUUAUUUUUUUUCUGCUAACAAAUUACCCACCAAAAAAAACCAAACAAACAACAAAACAAACACCACACCAUAAGAACUGAUCUUUAGGGUAGCAUUAUUAUUAUUAUUUUUCUUCCUGGAGCAUGCACUAACAAUGGAAUAUUUAAGUAAACAUUUCACAGUGUAUGCGCUUUCCCAAAUUAAAAUUGCAAAAGGCAAGGAAACAAAGAUGAGCAAAGAUGAAAAUACCCAACCAUGCUAUUUCUCAGAAGCUCUCACAAGUAAAUGGUAUUUCCCUUUAAAUCCUGUUGUUUUAUUCUACUUGAUACAAAAAAAAAAAAGAACAACCAAAUAAACAAACAACAAAAAAACAUAACUUGGUUUAUGUAUAGGAGAAAAUUACUAUAGAGAAAAGUUCCUAAAAUGUUCAGGUUGUCAUACAGAGAAACAGCUAAAAAGAUGCAAGAGGAUUUGUAGCUCUCUACCACAAAAAUCUUAUAAAAGAUUUGGAUAUUCUGCUACAAGUCUUGCUUUCCCACUUCCCCUAUUCUCUUCCUAGUAGAAGUGAGAUAUAUUCAUUUUUUUUUUAAUUUUCAGACCCUCAUUACAGCUGCGAUAAUCAGGCUCUAACAUACUAGAAUGAGAUUGCCUACUUUACAAAAAUCAUUGUUGUAGCUUCUCUUUAUUUGAUUUAUUUGUAUAACAAGCUUUUUUAUCUUGCCAUUUAUGACAUCAAGUGCCUUGAGUCAUUGAGUGAUAGCUUUAAAUCAAUGGCAGCUUUUAUAAGGAUCCCAAAAGGAUCAUCUAAUGUAAAAUAUAAUGCAAUCAAAUCAAUUGGUCCUUUUUUUUUCUUUUUUUUUUUUUUCCCAGCUUUAUCUGAAGAGACCUGCUCUCUGUGCUGAAAGACAAGUCAGGUUAUCUGAUCUAGCAAGUCUUGCAAACAAACAAAUUCAGAUAUCUUAUCAUGAAUCAAAUCUGUUGUGGUCACUUAGUUCAUUCAAGUGACAUAAUGUACCUACAGAAAAUGCUCUUAAAUUCUUGCAUAAUUUUAUAAAUGUAGUCAUCGAGCAGAUGAGAAGUAAUAUCACUGUCUCUACAUUUGCAGUGUAUUAGGAUGGCCUUUAUCUAAUUCAGCUAAAGAGGUUUAACAGGAAAAUAGAAGAAAACCAUGGAACUUACACUGAAGGAUUUAAUGGGCUUUUUUUUUUUUUUUUUAAAAGGUGGUCCAGGCUAGGACACAGUUGGUAUCUUUUAAAAUGAGAGGGGCAAGUUGCUCAUUUGCAAAACUCAGCAGUCAGGUGAUGGUGUCAGCAUAGCUCAAUAGCUCAUACCUCACCUUGCAAAGAAGGAAUGCUUACUAGAAGUGGUGGGAAUGUUUCCAGAACUUGUGUGCAGCUGUUCAUACGGUUCUGAUAAAAUCUGCAAAAGCCCUGUUGGUGUGUGAAGUUGCUUGUACCUCUACAUAGAGUGAAAGAGCUGCAAUUGUCCUGCUUGGUCAAAGCAAUACCUUUGUCUUGAUGGUAAGAGCCAGAGCAAACCCUUGCAAGGGAAAGCUGAGCAAUUAAGGAAUUCCCAUGGGAGGGUUUUCUCUACCCCCACAAGUAGUCAGUGGUUGGCUGAUGCUCUGGGCCAGCAAUGCUUUUAUUUCUUAUAGAUCAUUCAUCCUCAGCAGCAACAUAGCGG
rnacentral:lncRNA from 1 species